UACGUAGGAUGCAAGCGUUGUUCGGAAUUACUGGGCGUAAAGAGUACGUAGGCGGUCUGGCAAGUCUGAUAUUAAAGACUGGAGCUUAACUUCAGGACUGUAUCGGAAACUGCCAAACUAGAGGACUAUAGAGGAAGUCGGAAUUCUCAGUGUAGCGGUGAAAUGCGUAGAUAUUGGGAAGAACACCAGUGACGAAAGCGGACUUCUGGGUAGUUACUGACGCUGAGGUACGAAAGCGUGGGGAGCAAACGGG
rnacentral:rRNA from 1 species